rnacentral:rRNA from 1 species
AGACCCGAAACCCGGUGAUCUAGCCAUGGGCAGGUUGAAGGUUGGGUAACACUAACUGGAGGACCGAACCGACUAAUGUUGAAAAAUUAGCGGAUGACCUGUGGCUGGGGGUGAAAGGCCAAUCAAACCGGGAGAUAGCUGGUUCUCCCCGAAAGCUAUUUAGGUAGCGCCUCGUGAAUUCAUCUCCGGGGGUAGAGCACUGUUUCGGCUAGGGGGCCAUCCCGGCUUACCAACCCGAUGCAAACUGCGAAUACCGGAGAAUGUUAUCACGGGAGACACACGGCGGGUGCUAACGUCCGUCGUGAAGAGGGAAACAACCCAGACCGCCAGCUAAGGUCCCAAAGUCAUGGUUAAGUGGGAAACGAUGUGGGAAGGCCCAGACAGCCAGGAUGUUGGCUUAGAAGCAGCCAUCAUUUAAAGAAAGCGUAAUAGCUCACUGGUCGAGUCGGCCUGCGCGGAAGAUGUAACGGGGCUAAACCAUGCACCGAAGCUGCGGCAGCGAACGUAUCACUUAAAGCGAUUCAGCGGGUUACGAUUGACGGAGCGAAGCGACGUCAAAGCGUAUACAAAGUCGAGUCGGUUUAAGGAUACGUUCGUUGGGUAGGGGAGCGUUCUGUAAGCCUGCGAAGGUGGCCUGUGAGGGUUGCUGGAGGUAUCAGAAGUGCGAAUGCUGACAUAAGUAACGAUAAAGCGGGUGAAAAGCCCGCUCGCCGGAAGACCAAGGGUUCCUGUCCAACGUUAAUCGGGGCAGGGUGAGUCGACCCCUAAGGCGAGGCCGAAAGGCGUAGUCGAUGGGAAACGGGUUAAUAUUCCCGUACUUGGUGUUACUGCGAAGGGGGGACGGAGAAGGCUAUGUUGGCCGGGCGACGGUUGUCCCGGUUUAAGCGUGUAGGUGUGUGUUCCAGGUAAAUCCGGUUC